GACGAACGCUGGCGGCGUGCUUAACACAUGCAAGUCGAACGAUGAAGAAAAGAAUCGCAGCUUCGGCGGAAAUUCAUUUCGGAUUAGUGGCAGACGGGUGAGUAACGCGUGAGCAACCUACCUCUUACAAAGGGAUAGCCUCGGGAAACCGGGAUUAAUACCAUAUAACAUUGUGACGAAGCAUUUCGAUGCAAUCAAAGCUACGGCGGUAAGAGAUGGGCUCGCGUCCCAUUAACCGGAUGGUGAGGUAACGGCUCACCAUAGUGACGAUGGGUAACCGGCCUGAGAGGGUGAACGGUCACACUGGAACUGAGACACGGUCCAGACUCCUACGGGAGGCAGCAGUGGGGAAUAUUGCACAAUGGAGGGAACUCUGAUGCAGCGACGCCGCGUGAGUGAUGAAGGAAUUCGUUUUGUAAAACUCUGUUCUAUGGGAAGAAAAGGACUGUACCAUAGGAGAAAGCUCCGGCUAAAUACGUG
rnacentral:rRNA from 1 species